CAAGGAAUUUUCGGCAAUGGGGGCAACCCUGACCGAGCAACGCCGCGUGCAGGAUGACGGCCUUCGGGUUGUAAACUGCUUUUCAGGGGGAAGACUAAGGACUGUACCCCUGGAAUAAGGCUCGGCUAACUCUGUGCCAGCAGCCGCGGUAAGACAGAGGAGCCAAGCGUUGUCCGGAGUAACUGGGCGUAAAGCGCACGCAGGUGGUUCUGCGCGUGGGGUGUGAAAGCUCUCGGCUUAACUGAGAGAGGCCACCUCAUACGGCAGAGCUCGAGCCCUGCAGAGGUCCACGGAAUUGCCGGUGUAGUGGUGAAAUGCGUAGAGAUCGGCAGGAACACCCAGGGGGAAACCAGUGGACUGGGCAGGCGCUGACACUGAGGUGCGAAAGCGUGGGGAGCGAAC
rnacentral:rRNA from 1 species